GACGAACGCUGGCGGCGUGCCUAAUACAUGCAAGUAGAACGCAGUUUCGAACGGGUGAGUAACGCGUAGGUAACUCCCUCAUAGCGGGGGAUAACUAUUGGAAACGAUAGCUAAUACCGCAUACUGUGAGAUUGACCUGCGUUGUAUUAGCUAGUUGGUGAGGUAAAGGUUCAACAAGGCGACGAUACAUAGCCGACCUGAGAGGGUGGUCGUCCAAACUGGGACCGAGAACCGGCCCAAGCUCCGACGGGAGGCAGCAGGCGGGAAUCUGCGGCAAUGGGCGGAAUUAUGACCGAGCAACUCCGCGUGAGUGAAGAAGGUUUUCGGAUCGUAAAACUAUGUUGUAAGAGAAGCGGUACCUAACCAGAAAGGGACGGCUAACUACGUGCCAGCAGCCGCGGUAAUUC
rnacentral:rRNA from 1 species